rnacentral:tRNA from 1 species
UCUGGUGGCUCAAUCGGAUAGAGCGUUGGACUUCUAAUCCAAAGGUUGCGGGUUCAAGUCCCGCCCAGAGUAU